rnacentral:rRNA from 1 species
GAUGAACGCUGGCGGCGUGCCUAAUACAUGCAAGUCGAGCGAACCACUUCGGUGGUGAGCGGCGAACGGGUGAGUAACACGUAGGUGAUCUGCCCAUCAGACGGGGACAACGAUUGGAAACGAUCGCUAAUACCGGAUAGGACGAAAGUUUAAAGGUGCUUCUGGCACCGCUGAUGGAUGAGCCUGCGGCGCAUUAGCUAGUUGGUAGGGUAAAGGCCUACCAAGGCGACGAUGCGUAGCCGACCUGAGAGGGUGAACGGCCACACUGGGACUGGGCCACGGCCCAGACUCCUACGGGGGGCAGAAGUAGGGAAUCUUCGGCGAUGGGCGAAAGCCUGACCGAGCAACGCCGCGUGAAUGAUGAAGGCCUUCGGGUUGUAAAAUUCUGUUAUAAGGGAAGAACGACUUUAGUAGGAAAUGGCUAGAGUGUGACGGUACCUUAUGAGAAAGCCACGGCUAACUACGUGCCAGCCGCCGCCGUAA